GUUCCCUGUACAGGUGUUCCUGCAGUACAUUGUCUUCUGGUCACCAAGUCCUCACACUGGCUGGCUUAACCGGUAGUCUCACCUGCUAGAGCAACGCUCGCAAUCCUGACUGCUCCUUAGAAUCAACUGGGAACAUGUGAAAAUGAAUGUCGGGAACCCUCUGCAGACCAACUGGAUGAGGAUCUCUGAUCUGGGCACUGCUAUGCAUGUCCCCACUGCUCUGCCAACCCUGAGCACAGCAGUCCAGAGCUGUUGGUGUGUGAGAUCUUGAGAGCGAAGCCUACCGAGGCAUGAAGGAAGAAGAAGUGACCCGCCAACUUCCAAGGGGGGCCAGCCUGAGGAAAUGAGAAAAGCAACAACCACCACAACGGGAGACCAGGAAAAGUCACGUAGCUGCUUAUUAACAGCUGACUUGGGACAAACGGAUGGCGCAUUCUCUUCCCCUGGGGCAUUCUCUUCCCCUGGCCUCACCCACAGGGAAGUAGAAUAUGAGACGUGCUUGGAUGCAUAUCUGAAGAUCGAUGCCCAUUUAUGGGGUAGCUUUUCAGAGUUCUGCAGAACUCUCUGAAUCUUCCAGACUCUUUGAAUUGUUUAAGGUGAAGACGGGCUUUGUGUUCACUGUGUUCUGUGUCUUUAAGUGAAAGCAUUUGUGACUGCUGCGUUAGAAGUAUCCUCUGAAAGUCAUCAUCGACUCCUCCAGACCCAGCUCUGACCCUCAAUUAGCCUUGACAUCACUUCCCUGUGCUAGUCCGUGAUAAGCAUUCCCGUAGAAGAAAACCUUUUAAUGGACUCUCUAGACGCAUAAUCUGCAUCUUUUGGCGGCAUCCCCUCCAGGAUGGAGGGCACGGAGAGCAAGCCACUGUUCCACAAGAACGUCUCCUUCGGAACCUUGUAAUGCAGUAGGGAAAAGACAUUUUUGUUCUCUCUCUGCCUUUGCUUUUUGUUUUUGUUUUUAUUUUUUGCUUCUGAGGUCUGAGUGCGGAGGUUAGCUGCACCCACCCAUUUGAAUUUAAUCUGUCUUUGUACAAACAGCUUGUAUUAAUUCUCUAAGCAGCGGUUCGAAAAAUAAACACGAUCAUUUCAGAAUUUCAACACAAAGAGCAUUAUUUCUACCUCAUUAACAAUGAAGUGCUUAAAGAAAAUACCCAGGCGCGCUCAUUUCUAAGACUGGCGUGGAGGAAGUCAAAGGGCCUUGCUGCUUUUUCAAGGCUGUUUCCAUCACAGCGGGCAGCAAGCUCUUCGAGGGCAGGGCUUUGUCUGCAGCCCUGGGCACAAAGUGCUGAUGAACAUACUAGGCGCCCAGCAGGCAGCUGACCUGCGGAACCGCACUUACUAGUCCGCAGUUCUCAGUAAGUUUUGCCAACAGCGGGCCAACUUCUGUGUUGGUAUGUAGCACG